rnacentral:lncRNA from 1 species
CUUUCCUUUUCUUUGUCCUUACCCUUUUUCUUGCUUGAGCUACCUUUGAGGAAGGGCUUCCUUUUAUGAAAUUUCUUCUUUCCUCUCAUAAAUUUUCCGAAUUUUCUUACAAGCAUAGCCAUUCUUUCUUCAUCAUAUUCCUCCUCAUCAUCAGAUUCUUCUGAUUCGGUUUUCUAUUUUGGAGUGGUAGACUUCAAGGCAAUGGUCUUUCUUUUCAUGACCUCAUCUUCUGAAUUUUGCCUCAUGGUCAACUCAUGGGUCAUGAGUGAUCCUAGAAGUUCUUCCAAUUGCAGUGUAUUGAGGUCAUU